rnacentral:rRNA from 1 species
UCCUGACUGGGAAAACCCUGGACACCAUGCUUUUCGACGUCGCCUAAGGAUGGGGCCGCGCCCGAUCAGGUUGUUGGUGGGGUAACGGCUCACCAAGCCUAUAACCGGUACGGGCCGUGAGAGCGGGAGCCCGGAGAUGGGCACUGAGACAAGGGCCCAGGCCCUACGGGGCGCAGCAGUCGCGAAAACUCCGCAAUGCGCGAAAGCGUGACGGGGCUACCCCGAGUGCCGUCCGCUGAGGAUGGCUUUUCCCCGGUGUAAUGAGCCGGGGGAAUAAGGAGAGGGCAAGUCUGGUGUCAGCCGCCGCGGUAAUACCAGCUCUCCGAGUGGUAGGGAUGAUUAUUGGGCUUAAAGCGUCCGUAGCCGGCUUNAGCAGUCU